GUUGUAUAGUCAAGUAAUUAAGUGCAUGUGGUGGAUGCCUUGGCAGUCAGAGGCGAUGAAAGACGUGAUAGCCUGCGAAAAGCUCCGGGGAGGCGGCAAAUAUCCUUUGAUCCGGAGAUGUCUGAAUGGGGGAACCCACCUACUUUAAGGUAGGUAUUGCAACAUGAAUACAUAGUGUUGCAAGGCGAACGAGGGGAAGUGAAACAUCUCAGUACCCUUAGGAAAAGAAAUCAAUUGAGAUUCCCUCAGUAGCGGCGAGCGAACGGGGAUCAGCCCAUUAAGUUAUGUGUGUUUUAGUGGAACGCUCUGGGAAGUGCGAACGUAGAGGGGGAUAUUCCCGUACACGAAAGGGCACACAUAAUGAUGACGAGUAGGGCGAGGCACGUGAAACCUUGUCUGAAUAUGGGGGGACCAUCCUCCAAGGCUAAAUACUCCUGACUGACCGAUAGUGAACCAGUACCGUGAGGGAAAGGCGAAAAGAACCCCUGUGAGGGGAGUGAAAUAGAUCCUGAAACCGCAUGCAUACAAGCAGUGGGAGCACCUUCGUGGUGUGACUGCGUACCUUUUGUAUAAUGGGUCAGCGACUUAUAUUCAGUAGCGAGGUUAACCGUAUAGGGGAGCCGUAGAGAAAUCGAGUCUUAAUAGGGCGUUUAGUUGCUGGGUAUAGACCCGAAACCAGGCGAUCUAUCCAUGAGCAGGUUGAAGGUUGGGUAACACUAACUGGAGGACCGAACCCACUGUCGUUGAAAAGCCAGGGGAUGACUUGUGGAUAGGGGUGAAAGGCUAAUCAAGCCUGGUGAUAGCUGGUUCUCCCCGAAAGCUAUUUAGGUAGCGCCUCGGACGAAUACCAUAGGGGGUAGAGCACUGUUUCGGCUAGGGGGUCAUCCCGACUUACCAAACCGAUGCAAACUCCGAAUACCUAUGAGUACUAUCCGGGAGACAGACUGCGGGUGCUAACGUCCGUAGUCAAGAGGAAAACAAUCCAGACCGCCAGCUAAGGCCCCAAAAUCAUAGUUAAGUGGGAAACGAUGUGGGAAGGCAUAGACAGCUAGGAGGUUGGCUUAGAAGCAGCCACCCUUUAAAGAAAGCGUAAUAGCUCACUAGUCGAGUCGGCCUGCGCGGAAGAUGUAACGGGGCUAAAACUAUGUGCCGAAGCUGCGGAU
rnacentral:rRNA from 1 species